CUGAAAUUCCUAAAACCUAGACAACCUUCCCCUCCAAAAAAAAAAGAACAGAGAUCGGCGCUAACUCGACUCCCACCGUCUUCUCUCCUCUCAUUUCACCUUGACACCACUCAUCACUUUGUUUUCAUUUUUUAUCAUAACAAAAUCCCAAUUCAGCCUUUGAAUUUCAGAUUUGAAUACAGAGACAAAACCUCCCCAAAACAAGAAGAAAUUAUAUAAAAAAAGGGAUGAAAUCUAAAAGUUGGUUUGAUUGGAGAAAAUAGUUUGUUCGUUACUAGUGCCGCCACUAGCGUAUAGCAGUGAUUUGGGUUUGUUCUUCUGAUUUUGUUGAUGAUCCGGCUAAGCUUACUCAUCAGUUGUUUUAUUAGCUUCGAUUCAGUUGAUUUCGGUUCAUUUACAAAUAAAUAGUGGUUUUCCCGGCAUUUCAUUUGGGCUUAUUAGCAGCUGAACUUCGCAUGAGCUGGCUUUAGUUGUUGCUUUUUCUUCAGUGAUUUAUGUUCUAUUUGGCCGGGUUCUACUGUAACUAGCUCCAGUGGAUAUAGAGCUAUUUAAGGACUGCUGUUGCUGAAAAUCGUUGCUGCUACUGCUUGCCGGAUCCCGUCGUUUUUAUUUCUGCUUGAUUUUUGGUCAUUUCAACUUUUGAUUCAGGCAUUAGGUACUAUAUUGGGCAACUUUGAUUCCCUGUAUUCUCAUAUUAUCUACGCUCGCCUUUGUCAUAGAGAACGACCUAAUUGAGGCCAACUCGAAUAUUGUCGGCCCCAGUAAGCGGACGGACCGAGUGAUAUGAAUCAAGACGGCAUCGCUUAAAGCUCUGACUCUCCCGUACACUGAGACCACCAACCCUUGUACUUUUCUUUGAUUAUUUCAAGGAAGAUCUCUUAAUAUACAAAGGGGAUAUUCCCUUUGUAAAGACUCAUGUGUAUUUUGCCAUUGAAAAUAUACUUUUGUUUUGGGAGGCAAAACGCGUAGGAUUAGUUUUCAUUAAUAAAAAGAGAUUAAAGAUUACAACAAAUAGGAAAAAUAAGAUAAGGGGGGACAUGCACCAGUAUUGUUACCCAUAUAACAAUAACGGGCGUACACCUUACCUUGUUAAUCCUAUUGAGGCCAGAAAAUGCCUCUAGAUCUAAUAAGCAUGAAAAAUGAAAGAAGUGGUAAGAAUAAAGAAAUGUAUGAUCAUCACAAAGUUUAUCAAUGCUCUGUGAUGAUAGUACAUACAAUACUUGUAAUGUGAUGGAAAAUUGUAGACUCACUUGCUCCAAACCGCACCUCCAAAUACUAAGAACGAGCUCGAAACCUCAAGGCGAAGUCGACG
rnacentral:lncRNA from 1 species